rnacentral:rRNA from 1 species
AGAGUUUGAUCCUGGCUCAGGAUGAACGCUAGCGACAGGCCUAACACAUGCAAGUCGAGGGGCAUCGGGGAGCGAAGCUUGCUUUGCUCCGCCGGCGACCGGCGCACGGGUGAGUAACGCGUAUGCAACCUGCCCGUUUCAGCGGGAUAACCCGGAGAAAUCCGGCCUAAUACCGCAUGUGGCCGAGGGGAGGCAUCUUCUUUCGGCCAAAGGAGGCGACUCCGGAGACGGAUGGGCAUGCGUGACAUUAGCUAGUUGGCGGGGUAACGGCCCACCAAGGCGACGAUGUCUAGGGGUUCUGAGAGGAAGGUCCCCCACACUGGUACUGAGACACGGACCAGACUCCUACGGGAGGCAGCAGUGAGGAAUAUUGGUCAAUGGGCGAGAGCCUGAACCAGCCAAGUCGCGUGAAGGAUGACGGCCCUACGGGUUGUAAACUUCUUUUGUCAGGGAGCAAUUGGGUCCACGCGUGGGCUUAGCGAGAGUACCUGAAGAAAAAGCAUCGGCUAACUCCGUGCCAGCAGCCGCGGUAAUACGGAGGAUGCGAGCGUUAUCCGGAUUUAUUGGGUUUAAAGGGUGCGUAGGUGGUCUUUUAAGUCAGCGGUGAAAGUUUGUGGCUCAACCAUAAAAUUGCCAUUGAAACUGGGAGACUUGAGUAUGUUUGAGGUAGGCGGAAUGCGUGGUGUAGCGGUGAAAUGCAUAGAUAUCACGCAGAACUCCGAUUGCGAAGGCAGCAUACCGGCGCCCAACUGACGCUGAAGCACGAAAGCGUGGGUAUCGAACAGGAUUAGAUACCCUGGUAGUCCACGCAGUAAACGAUGAAUACUAACUGUUUGCGAUACAAUGUAAGCGGUACAGCGAAAGCGUUAAGUAUUCCACCUGGGGAGUACGCCGGCAACGGUGAAACUCAAAGGAAUUGAC